rnacentral:tRNA from 1 species
GUGAUCAUGGUGUACCGGUGUGCACACCAGGUUGUGGUCCUGGAAGGCGUGGGUUCGACUCCCCGUGAUCACC